UCUACAUUUCUCCACAUCCCUCGUACAUUUUCUCCAUUAUACAGGACAUUUUUUCUCCAAUUUUAACUCAAUUUUGCCUAAACGUUACCAUAACUUUUGCAUCCCAAAGCAGACAAUCCAAAUAUCCCUCAAUUUCGGGUAUAAGCUAGACUUUAAAGAAGGGAAAUGAGAGACAACGAAACAGUAUAAUUAGACAUUUUUCUUCUUGGUUAUUCACAAGAAACUCCCGUGAAUUUAUACACUAAUUCUCUCAUCGGUGUACUUUUAUUUUUGGGAUGCGGUUAUGGUGCAUAAACAAAUCCUUAUGCACCCUGCAUAAAUCCUACAUCUAAUGGUUUUAGAGUACAACUCACAGAAACCAUUUCUGGAUUUAUGCAGGGUACAUAAGGAUUUCCUUAUGCACCAUAACUGCGCCCAAAACUUGCUUCAUUACACAUCAAAAUAAAAUAGAAAACUUGUAGCAUUAUUUGUGAAUCUAUGAUAGUAAUGAAGAAAUGAAAAUUCUCUUUAACGGAAUAGAAAUCUUUCAGGAAGCAGUCAAGUAGCAAUUGAGGCACACUCUUAGUUGUUUCCUCAUUUCAACGGGCCUUGCAAUUGUGGCCUCUUGGAUUGGGCUAGGCCCAAUGUUACUUUGUGGCUAGCUCUCUUUAGCAAAUGAGUGUUUCUCUUUAAGCCUCCAAUAUCUCUAAGACCCUCUAAAUAAACAUCUGGUAGUUAUCUAUUAAAUGUACGUUUUUAUUUAUGAAACAUACAUCUAAUAGAUAAUUAUCGGAUGUGUAUUUAAGAGGCCUUAGAGAUAUGAGGGGAUAAAGAGAAACAUUCUUAGCAAAUUGGCCCAUGUCUGCUACAAAUAGAGGAAAACACAAAUUAAGGAUCAAGUUGUUUUGUAAAGACAUUUUCUAUAUUCAUAUUUCUGUAAAAUUAUGUUUGCUUUAUUCGGUAACAAGGAAAAAACACUUAAAAUUAGUAAUUGUCUUGUAUUUUUAAGACAAUAAAAAAUGUUAUAAGAACUAUUUCAUUAUUUUUUAAAUGCAUUAUAAAUUACUAGUAUUUUAUACUUUAUUCAUCACAAUGACUUGCUUUAAAAGUCUUCUCUUUUUAAAAGUCUUCUCUAUUAAGUGAGUUAUGCUCACAUGGAUAAAUUGUAUGUUGUUUUAUACUAUAAAUUGUGAAAAUCUUCCCAAACAUACAAUUUACUAGUAUGUUAAAAAAAAAAAAAAAAAAUGGCUGCUAAGGAUGACAAAUGUGAAACAGUAUACAGUUCAUAAACAGCCUAGCUCCUUUAAAGAAAAUGAUCAGCAUAACUACUCAGCUAAUUAACGACCAACUGCAUAAAGCUCAAGAAGAUAUAAGAUGAAAAAAUGAAAUAGAUUGAUUAAUUAUUAUAUGAUGUAUAUGAUCUGAAUUGCGAAAACCUAUUAACUAUGAAAUUAGACUGUGACCCCUUCCUCUUCGACUUGGACCAGAGUAUGCUUGAGCCAUGAUGAAGUGAUUGAAGGAGAAGGAAGUAGCAGGUGAAUGCCUCGAACCCUCUACACACCAUGAUGACAAGCAAAAUAAGAUCAUCAGCACCAAAAUAAGAACAUGUUGCUGUGUGAACAAUAUACAUUUCAUCUCUAUAUCGAUUUUGCUUGUUCUUUACACAAGGUAGCUAUGACUAAGUUUGUGUUUUCUAGUUCAGUUCCUUGAGGUUUGAUACACACUCAUAU
rnacentral:lncRNA from 1 species